rnacentral:rRNA from 1 species
UCAGACGAUGCGUCAUGCAUAUCAAUAAGCGGAGGAAAAGAAACUAACAAGGAUUCCCUUAGUAACGGCGAGUGUAGCGGGAAGAGCUCAAAUUUGAAAUCUUCAAGGUUUUACCUUGACGAAUUGUAGUUUAAAGAAGUGUUUUCUGUUGAAGUUUUGGUAAAAGUUCUUUGGAAUAGGACAUCAUAGAGGGUGAGAAUCCCGUAUUUGACCAUUAUUUUCAGCUGUGUGAUACACUUUCAAAGAGUCGGAUUGUUUGGGAAUGCAGUCCAAAAUGGGUGGUAAAUUUCAUCUAAAGCUAAAUAUUGGCGAGAGACCGAUAGCGAACAAGUACCGUGAGGGAAAGAUGAAAAGAACUUUGAAAAGAGAGUUAAACAGUACGUGAAAUUGUCAAAAGGGAAGCGGUUGACACCAGUGUUGUUUUCUCGAAAAUCAAUUAAAAAGAGUUAGAUUUUGUUGUGUAUUGACCUUAACAGCUUGCAUUUCAAUUUUCUUGCUUUUUUUAAUGCACUUUUCGUUUAACAAGUCAACAUCAGUUUCUUUUGUUGUAAAAAGGUCAUUGGAAGGUGGCUUUCUUUUCGGAGAAAGUGUUUAUAGGCCUUUGACUCCUGCAAUCGGAGAGACUGAGGUCUGCAGCGUAGAUCCUUCGGGGUUAGAUACAUUUGUGCUAAGUUAUAGCUUUUUAUAGACAACUUGUUGACUAUGAUUAGUCUUGUAGCUUACUCGCUUAUGCUAUUUUACCUACGCUUAGGAUGUUGAGUCGUAGAGCACGCAG